GCUGCAUGCAGUAUUGUGCCUGCAGUCCCAGCUAAUGGGGAGGCUGAGGCAGGAGGAUCGCUUGAGUCCAGGAGUUCUAGGCUGAGAUGCUCUUUGUUGAUUGGGUGUCUGCACUGAGUUUGGCAUCAAUAUGGUGACCUCCCAUGAGCAGGGGACCACAGCAUUGCCCGAGGAGGGGUGAAUAAGCCCAGGUCAGAAACAGAGCAGGUGAAAACUCCCAUGCCAACGAGCGGCCACUGCACUGUAGCCUGGGCAUCAUCAUGGCAAGACCCUGUCUCUU
ensembl:misc_RNA Metazoa_SRP Metazoan signal recognition particle RNA